GUGCACUAGUGCCGUAAUCUGCCAUCUUGCAACGUGAUCUUGCGAGAAGAAAUCAGAAGAAAAAAAUUAUCAGCUAAUGUAAUUGAAAGGAAAGGAAAAAUCAAUUGGUUUAAUAUUGGAGUUUAUUUUAUACGAUAUAAAUAUAUUAAAUAUAUAGAAAAAUGUUAGCUGCAUCAUUCAAAUUAUUACUCAAUGCGAAGAGAGUUAAUACAUUAACUCGUCUUAAAUCAACGUUAGUUAUAGCAGAACAUAAUAAUGAAGUAUUGUCAUCGAUAACAUGUAACACAUUAAGUGCAGCUAAACAAAUUGGUGGUGACAUCACCGUUUUAGUUGCUGGAACAAAGUGCGAUGGAGUGGCAAAGGCUAUAAGCAAUGCGAAUGGUGUCAACAAAGUUCUUGUUGCUAAUAGUGAGGCAUUUAAAGGAUUUACUCCAGAAACAUUGACGCCACUGAUAUUAGCGAUGCACAACCAAAAUAAGUAUUCCCACAUUUUAGCUGGUGCUAGUGCUUUUGGUAAAUCAUUAUUACCAAGAGUAGCAGCAAAAUUGGAUGUUUCGCCGGUAAGCGAUAUUAUUGGUAUUAAAGGUCCGGAUACUUUUAUUCGCACUAUUUACGCUGGCAAUGCUAUACAGACCAUUAAAGUGAAAGAUAAUGUCAAAGUUGUAUCUGUGAGAGGUACUUCGUUUGAACCAUUGCCCCUGGAAGGUGGUAAUGCAACUUGUGAACAGGUUCCACCAGGUGAUUAUAAAACGAAUCUGGUUGAAUUUAUUAAGCAAGAAAUUAGCAAGAGCGAUAGACCUGAAUUGACAUCAGCUAAAGUAGUAGUUUCGGGAGGACGAGGUUUAAAGUCGGGUGAUAAUUUUAAACUACUCUAUUCCUUGGCUGAUAAACUCAAUGCUGCCGUUGGUGCUUCAAGAGCUGCAGUUGAUGCUGGAUAUGUGCCCAAUGACUUACAGGUCGGACAGACAGGAAAGAUAGUUGCACCGGACCUGUACAUAGCAGUGGGCAUUUCUGGAGCAAUUCAGCAUCUUGCCGGUAUGAAAGAUUCAAAGACAAUUGUUGCUAUCAACAAAGAUCCAGAAGCCCCAAUUUUUCAAGUAGCGGAUUACGGAUUAGUUGAGGAUUUGUUUAAAGCUGUGCCAGAACUUACAGACAAAUUGAAAUGAAUAUUUUAUUAUAUAUUUUAUAAAAAGUGAUAAUUUUUAACCAGUAAGAAAUAGUAACAUACGAUCGGUGAAUGAACUUUAUUCCAUCAAGCAAUUAGACUAUUAUAGUCUUUUAUUUGAUAGAGUGGAAGAAAAGAAAAAGAAAGAAUAUAUAUAGACAUAUUUUUGAUAUUUAUAUUUAUCGAAUUAAAAUACAUAUAUGGGAAAUAUAUUUUGUGCAAUAUGUAAUAAUAAACGUGUUUUUUCUUAUUCUGCGAUAUUCUGCAGAGACCCGACGAUCACAGAAGAAAAUGGAACAGAGAAGAAUACGAACGAAUAGCCCUUCAACGGCUCCAGGAUGAAAUUGCUGAAGAGGAAUUAGGUAUUCCGAAGCAGCCAGCAGUAAAAAGAGAAUUAC
rnacentral:misc_RNA from 1 species